AAGGGGACGUGUACAAGGUAAAGUGGGGCAGGGUGAGGCGACGCGUAAGGGGAGGGCGGAAGGCGUAGACAAUAGGAAACAGGAUAAUAUUCCUGUAGUUGGGGUUACUGCGAAGGGGGGACGGAGAAGGCUAUGUUUGCCGGGAGACGGUUGUCCCGGUUUAAGCGUGUAGGCUGGUUUUCCAGGCAAAGCAGGAAAAUGAAGGUUGAGGCGUGAUGACGAGGCAGUACGGUGCUGAAGCAACAAA
rnacentral:rRNA from 1 species